AGAAUCAACGCUGGCGGCGUGCCUAACACAUGCAAGUCGCACGAGAAAGUGGAGCAAUCCAUGAGUAAAGUGGCGCACGGGUGAGUAACACGUGAAUAAUCUACCUCCGAGUGGGGAAUAACUGAGAGAAAUCUUAGCUAAUACCGCAUAAUACCCACGGGUCAAAGCAGCAAUGCGCUUGGAGAGGAGUUCGCGGCCGAUUAGUUAGUUGGCGGGGUAAUGGCCCACCAAGACGAUGAUCGGUAU
rnacentral:rRNA from 1 species